rnacentral:misc_RNA from 1 species
AAAAUGCGAUAAGUAGUGUGAAUUGCAGAAUUCAGUGAAUCAUCGAAUCUUUGAACGCACAUUGCGCCCCUUGGUAUUCCAUGGGGCAUGCCUGUUCGAGCGUCAUUUGUACCCUCAAGCUCUGCUUGGUGUUGGGUGUUUGUCCCGUCUCCGCGCGUGGACUCGCCCCAAAGUGAUUGGCAGCCGGCGUACUGGUCCCGGAGCGCAGCACAUGUCGCGCAAACGAGUGCCUUGGUACGGCGGCGUCCAUAAGCCCCUCUCUCACGCUCUUGACCUCGGAUCAGGUAGGGAUACCCGCUGAACUUAAGC